rnacentral:rRNA from 1 species
CAGUCGUACCUGCGGGUAAUCAGCCUUUUGGGCAUGAUUCUGUGGAGCGUGAGGAGUUAAACGCCUUCAUGCCUGCAUAUUCGUGCUCUUGGGUGUACUUGCUCGUGUGGUUGGUUAACAUCAAUUUCGGUUAUCAUAAAAUGACUGGAGGAAUGUAGCUUCGAUCUCGUAUUGAAGUGUUAUAGCCUUUGGUAGAUGUGAUGUUUGAGACCGAGGAUUGCAACGGAUACCCUUCAGGGCUAUUCGUCUGAUCUCUGAUACGUUGCCCUGAUGUUGAAAGCUUGCUUAUGAUGUUAGGGUAUUACGGUCAAAAGGUUAGAACGGAUUAGA